UUCCCCAGCCCUUUCUUAAGAGGCAUUUUAAGUAUUGGCCAAGACCUCAUUAUCUCCCAUUAGCACUUUUUCUGGAUUUGAAUUCAAAUGUCAUUAAUGUUUCUGUCAAAGCUUCCUUGAAUAUCUUCACUUGUUUUGGGCUGUAAUUCACUUAACCUUGUUCAAUGCUGUUCAGUCCCAAAGGUGUUAAUUGAGGUGAGAUGUCUGCUAUGUCUACCCUGUUGCACUCAGUUGAAUAGAAAUAUUUGGGUUUAGAGCAUCUCAGAUUGUUUGGUGGAAAAGUUUAGCAGAGCCUCAUGAGGAAAAGGGAGUGAGGAAGUGGGUAGAAUGUCCUCUGGGAAUUUGGUGCUCCCUUUAAACCAGGUGUAUGAACAUGACUUUCCUGAAGUGGAAACAUUUGUCCCACUUUCACCCAAUACUGUUAUGUAUGACAAGUAAAAAGAAUGUUCUGGCACUUGGCAUCACCUAUGCCAAGAUGAUGAGACAACGUGAAGUGAUUUCCUCUAAUGUCAGUGUAUUAGUCUCAGUUUACAAAUUAUUUAAUAAAAUUAACUACUGAAAAGCCAUGAUUUUUUUUUUUUCUUUUGGAGACAGGAUUUCUCUAUGUAGCCCUGUCCGUCUUAGAACUCUCUCUGUAGACCAGGCUGGCCUUGAUCUCAUGGAGAUCCACCUGCCUCUGCCUCCAGUGCUGGGAUUAAAGGUGCACUACCACUUCCCGGCCAUGAAUCAUUUAAAGUGGGUUUUAGAACAAUGGUCAUUUGAUGUGUGUCUGCAUUUCCCUUCCAGGACAUAGGGUGUGAAGCUUUGCUGCCAGAAACUGGAUGGACUGUGUGUGUGUCUGGAUCUAGACUUUGCAGAAUUUGCAAAGAGCCGUGGCACUUAAGAAGCUGGUCAACAGGUAGUCUGUGUUUCCAUCUCCUCCCCUCACUUUCUUUUCCACUCUCCUCUCCCUGAGCCAUCGCCUACAUCAGCUCUCCUUGGGGACUCCUCCAGAAAGAAAACGUGGAGCAGACAGGGAGCAGUCGGAGAUGGGCAUGUUAACGCCUAGUAGAUAAGUCUGGUUUUUUUCUGUGCCUGCUUCCCAAUCUCUGCGGGAAAGGCACAAGUGUUUGCCAUUCUUUUUUCUUCUUUUGUUUUUUUGCUUUGUUUUUCAAUCUCACGUGUUUCUUCCCUGGCUUUGUACUAAUGAUAUAGCAGAUACUUCAACAGUUGUUGAACGAGUGACACAAUACCCAGAAGACGGAAUUGCGUAUUCCACCUGCUGAGGUUUUGAUUUUUGUGCAUGGAAGUGCUCUACCACCAGCUGUACCUCCAGUCCUGAGUUUUUUAAAGAAAUGCUGGCAGAAGCAGGGCAUGGGGGCUCACACCUAUAAUCUCAGUACUUGGAUGAGCAUAAGUCUAAGGCCAGCCGAGGUUACAGUGUGAUUGAUACACUCUCAAAAACCCCAAAACGGGCUGUGCAGUGGUGGCACACACCUUUAAUCCCAGCACUUGGAAGGCAGAGAUAGGUGGAUCUCUGAGUUUGAGGCCAGCCUAGGCUACAGACUGAGUUCCAGGACAGGCUUCAUAGCUACCAAGAAACCCUGUCUGAAAAAAUAAAAAAAUAAAAUAAAACCAAAGUGGGGCCCAAUAUGGUGCUAUAUGCUUUUAAUCUCAACAAUAGAGAGAGCAGAGACAGGUGGGUCUCAGAGUUUUAGCCCAGACUAGUCUACAUAAUUCCAGGGAAUUAGGUUAUAUGGUGAGACAUUGCAGGGCAAGGGAGUUGGUACAGAUAGCUCACUGGUAGACUGCCUGCCUAGUAUGCACAGAGCCUUAGGUUUAUUCCUCAGCAUUCAGGAGAUACAGGAGCAUCAGAAGUUCAGGGUUAGCUACAUAGUGAGUUGGAGGCCAGCCAACUACAUGAAACUGUCUUUUUAAAAAAAUAGCUGGGGACGGGGCUGGAGAGAUGGCUCAGAGGUUAAGAUCAGAAGUUAAGAGGACAGCUCUUCCAGGGAUCCUGAGUUCAAUUCCCAGCAACCACAUGGUGGCUCUCAACCAUCUGUAAUGAGAUCUGGUGCCCUCUUCUGGCAUACAGGUAUACAUGAGGGUAAAACACUGUAUACAUAAUAAAUAAAAUUAAAAAAAAAAAAUAGCUGGGUGGUGCCGCACACCUUUAAUCCCAGCACUCAGAAGGCAGAGGCAGGCAGAACUACACAGAAACCCUGUCUUGAAAACACAAAACCAAAAAGGUACUGGUUAGGAACAAUGAACUGGGACCCAGUUCUAAAUGAUGUAGGUGAGACAACUUGCUGUUUCCUUUUGUGUGCACUGUAACAGCUGUCAGCUCUGCCUCUUGAUGGUAUGAUUCAGGAACAGCACUUACACACUAGAUUCCACGUCAGUUCUGGCUAACCUUUCAAGAACUUUGCAGUCUUCUGACAGUGGCAGAGGUUCUGGUCACAAAGGAACCACAUGAGUAAGGAUGUGUCUCUACUCCUCUCCCCCACUUAAUCCCCACCCUAACCCUGGAACAGAUGGCGGGAUUCACAUACUCACUGUAUGUGGCAGAUGACAUUGAGCCAACGGAGAAACCUGUAUGCUACCCUAAGGAUGCAGGGUGCUAUGGAGCAGGAGUUAGCACAGUCCAACAGACAGCUGCUGGUGGUGAGUUCUAGGAGGGCUUCCUGAAGUCUUCCUCCUUCCCUGCUGUGUCCCUGCCAGCUGGCAUAUCAAACUCUCUGUCAUGACUUAACUAUAUUGUUUGCCUCUGAGAUUUUUCAUGAUUGUUAUCAGAACAUUAACAUCAAAUGUCAAAGCUCUUUUUCAGUCAGUGAGGUUUUUUCAAUUUUUUUCAUUGUUUGCAGGUGGCACUCCUUGUUUAGUUUUGGGCUUAGUGAAGCUUUGUUUUCUUGGGUUCUUUGGGUUGGGAUGGGUUGGAUUUUGUUUGGAACAGUCUCACUAUGUACCCCUAGCUGACCUGGAACUUGCUAUGUAGACCAGGCUGGCCUCCUGCCUCUGCACCCCUGCAUGCUAGGUUAAAGUGCACCACCACACCCAGUCAGGGGAUUUAUUUUACGUAUUUAUUUUUGAGACAAGGUCUUCCUCUGCAUCCCAGGAUGGCCUGGAACUUGCAGACAUCCUGUCUUAGCCUCCCAUAUGCUGAAAUUAUAAGCAUGUCCCAUCACCCAGCUGCAGGUGACACAUUUCCAAUUCUCAAUGCAUGACUUUGCUCUUUUCAUCCAGGUGAGACCCUAAGCCGCUCUUCUCCACUUGAGGUGCCAAAUGCCAUGUCACCUCUUAGUAUCUUGAGUACCUGGCAGAUUUCGUAGUUCAUGGUACAUUCUCAGCAAAAUAUUUGUUGAAUAAUGAGUCUUCACCCAAGGGUGGGGAAAUUAAAUAGGCUUUCCUCCACUGAUUUACUCUCUUCUACCACCUCUUCUUACAUCCCUGCUAAGGCCAGGUCCAAGGGAACACAGGGAUGGGGAGGCAUCCAGAGACCGAGGAGCAGCAUUAAAGAGCCAGCACCACACUUCACUGCCUUCCCUACCAGGUCCGUCAAGCUGCCUUACACGAGCUGUUUGAAAAGGAACAUCAACAGUACCAGCAGGAACUCAGUCGGAUGGGCAAAGCUUUUUAUGAGGAGAGACUCUGAGGCUGCCCAAACACUGCUCUUCCCUCAUGCCUGCCAACCCAGCCUCUAGUCUCUCCCUGGAGCUUCCCAAAACAAACCUGGACCUGGGACUUAAGACCACCUCUUUCUCACUGUCAAGUCAACCCAAAUGUCGCCUCGGAAAACAAGAGUGACGCCUUGUGGUUAGCGUGGGAUAUGCAGUAUCCUAAGGGGAGAGGAUGUACAGUGUCUGGUUUAAAAAAGUUGUGAUUUGGUUUAACAAAUAAAGCGAACUCUUAAAAAUUUA